rnacentral:rRNA from 1 species
CACGUAGGGGGCGAGCGUUGUCCGGAUUUAUUGGGCGUAAAGAGCUCGUAGGCGGCUCAGUAAGUCAGGUGUGAAAACUCCAGGCUCAACCUGGAGACGCCACCUGAUACUGCUGUGGCUAGAGUCCGGUAGGGGAGCAUGGAAUUCCUGGUGUAGCGGUGAAAUGCGCAGAUAUCAGGAGGAACACCAGUGGCGAAGGCGGUGCUCUGGGCCGGAACUGACGCUGAGGAGCGAAAGCGUGGGUAGCAAACAGG